rnacentral:rRNA from 1 species
UACGUAGGGGGGCAAGCGUUGUCCGGAUUUACUGGGCGUAAAGAGCGUGUAGGCGGCCAAGCAGGUCCGUUGUGAAAACUGGAGGCUUAACCUCCAGACGUCGACGGAAACCGCGUGGCUAGAGUCCGGAAGAGGAGAGUGGAAUUCCUGGUGUAGCGGUGAAAUGCGCAGAUAUCAGGAAGAACACCCGUGGCUAAGGCGGCUCUCUAGUACGGUACUGACGCUGAGGAGCGAAAGCAUGGGGAGCGAACAGG